rnacentral:rRNA from 1 species
GACUGUUUACCAAAAACAUAGCCCUUUAUAAUUAUAAAAGGUGAAGCCUGCCCAAUGAUAUUAAAAUAACUAUAAUCUAGUUUAAUUUGUAUUAAAUGGAUGCGGUAACUCUGACUGUAGUAAAGUAGCAUAAUCAAUUGUCACUUAAUUAGUGGAGAGAAUGAAUGGUUAUACGAAUGUUCUAUUGUCUUAAAAAAAAUUUUUUAAAAUUAAAAUAAUAGUUAAGAUGCUAUUUAAAAUUGUAAGACGAAGAGACCCUAUAGAGCUUUACUAUAAAUUUUUUGAUUAAUAAUAGCAAUAAUCUAUUGAUAUGUAAAAUAUUUGGUAGUUUAGUUGGGGCGACUGUUUUUUAGAAAUAACAAAAAUAUGCAAAGUAAUAUUUUUAUUUAUUGUAUAAUCUAAAAAUUUAACAAUUAUUAUAGUAGGCUAUAAUGACCCGUUAAUUUAAUAAAAUUUAGUUAACGAUUAAUUAAUAAAAGCUACCUUAGGGAUAACAGGAUAAUUUUGUUUUAGAGUUCUUAUCAAAUACAAAGUUUGUCACCUCUAUGUUGAAUUAAGAUAUCCAAAUAAUGCAGUAGUUAUUAAAGGUAGGUCUGUUCGACCUUUAAAAUCUUACAUGAUUUGAGUUCAUUCCGU